rnacentral:rRNA from 1 species
CUCGUAUCCACUAGUGAUUUCCGUUUGAUCCCGGCGGAGGCUACUGCUAUUGGGAUUCGAUUAAGCCAUGCAAGUUGAAUGAAUUUAGAUUCAUGGCGUACGGCUCAGUAACACGUGGAUAACUUACCCUUAGGACUGGGAUAACUCUGGGAAACUGGGGAUAAUACCGGAUAUUAGGCUAUGUCUGCAAUGGUUUGCCUUUGGAAUGUUUUUUUUCGCCUAAGGAUAGAUCUGCGGCUGAUUAAGUCGUUGGUGGGGUAAUGGCCCACCAAGCCGAUGAUCGGUACGGGUUGUGAGAGCAAGGGCCCGGAGAUGGAACCUGAGACAAGGUUCCAGACCCUACGGGGUGCAGCAGGCGCGAAACCUCCGCAAUGUACGAAAGUGCGACGGGGGGAUCCCAAGUGUUAUGCUUAAAGGUAUGACUUUUCAUUAGCGUAAAAAGCUUUUAGAAUAAGAGCUGGGCAAGACCGGUGCCAGCCGCCGCGGUAACACCGGCAGCUCGAGUGGUAGCUGUUUUUAUUGGGCCUAAAGCGUUCGUAGCCGGUUUAAUAAGUCUUUGGUGAAAGCUUGUAGCUUAACUAUAAGAAUUGCUGGAGAUACUAUUGGACUUGAAGUCGGGAGAGGUUAGAGGUACUACCGGGGGUAGGGGUGAAAUUCCUAUAUCCUGGGAGGACCACCUGUGGCGAAGGCGUCUAACUGGAACGAUCUUGACGGUGAGUAACGAAAGCCAGGGGCGCGAACCGGAUUAGAUACCCGGGUAGUCCUGGCCGUAAACAAUUUGGACUUGGUGGUGGAAUUGGCUCCAGUUGUUCCAGUGCCAAGGGGAACUGGUUAAUCACCGCCUGGGAAGUCCGGUCCAAACUGAAACCUAAGGAUUGGCGGGGGG